rnacentral:rRNA from 1 species
UACGUAGGGGGCAAGCGUUGUCCGGAAUCAUUGGGCGUAAAGCGCGUGUAGGCGGCCAGAAAAGUCCGCUGUGAAAACUCGAGGCUCAACUUCGAGCUGUCGGUGGAAACUUUCUGGCUAGAGUCCGGAAGAGGAGAAUGGAAUUCCUGGUGUAGCGGUGGAAUGCGCAGAUAUCAGGAGGAACACCGGUGGCGAAGGCGGGUCUCUGGGCAGUAACUGACGCUGGAGGAGCGAAAGCGUGGGGAGCGAACAGG